rnacentral:rRNA from 1 species
CCUACGGGUGGCAGCAGUGGGGAAUAUUGCACAAUGGGGGAAACCCUGAUGCAGCAACGCCGCGUGAGUGAGGAAGUAUUUCGGUAUGUAAAGCUCUAUCAGCAGGGAAUAGAAAAGAAGGUACCUGAACAAGAAGCGCCGGCUAACUACGUGCCAGCAGCCGCGGUAAUACGUAGGGGGCAAGCGUUAUCCGGAUUUACUGGGUGUAAAGGGAGCGUAGACGGAAAGGCAAGUCAGAAGUGAAAACCCAAGGCUCAACCAUGGGCCUGCUUUUGAAACUGUCAAACUAGAGUACGGGAGAGGUAAGAGGAAUUCGUAGUGUAGCGGUGAAAUGCGUAGAUAUUAGGAGGAACACCAGUGGCGAAGGCGUCGUACUGGACCGAAACUGACGUUGAGGCUCGAAAGCGUGGGGAGCGAACAGGAUUAGAUACCCCUGUAGUC